rnacentral:lncRNA from 1 species
AGGCCUUUCCCGGCCUCCGUUUGAUGCAAUUUUUAUAUCACCAUGAUCACCAUUCUUUUCUCUACAGGUUGAUCAGAGCCGAAUCACCAAAACACGAACCUCGUCGGAGAGCCGCCGCACCCGAGAGCACCGCCGCGGGUAAGCUUCGGUUUUUCGUAAUUUUUUGGCCCCCCGAGGGCCCUAGGUUUGUUUUAUCACAGGGACCGAUGUAAGUGUGGCCGAAUUCGGCUAGAAACGGCUGAAAACGGCCAACCCGAGGUGAAUUGCCACCGCAAGCGACGGCACCGUCGCCGGAGCACGGCGGAGCCGCCGUGCCGGAAUUGCGAUAUUGGCCGAAAGGGGCCCUGGGUCUAAUUUGGGAUUUUUUGGAACACGUGCAGGUACCAGUAAUGCGUUUCAGUUCCCCAGAAAAAAUUUAGGGAAAAUUAGGGACAGCCUGUAGGCGCACUGUAAAGCCGUGUUCGGACCCCAAAAUGCGUAAGAACCCCUCACCCUAUUUCCUAUCACGGUAUUAAAGUUCAAUAAUGAUAGAACGGUAUUUCUUGAAUCAACGAAUGUGUGAAAUUGCUUAAGGUCGCUAAUGGAGCCCGAGUCUAGUGUGUUUGUCGGUUAAUUGUUAUUUGGCUUAUUUUACAGUUUUAAAUGCAGUAUGAGGUCUGAUGUUUUCGUUUCAUAGUUUCAUGUGCAUAUUUUACUGUUUUAUUGAUUAUGGGUUGAAUGACUGAGUAACCGAUGCUGUAUGUUGUCUUGUUUGACAUAAAUUACUGU